rnacentral:piRNA from 1 species
UACUAUGGAAGUCCCCAGUAGUCA